rnacentral:rRNA from 1 species
GGUCCUAUGUGGUGUAGUUGUAGGAUUUGGCCUGCCCAAUGACUAAUUUAAUGGCCGCGGUAAUUUGACCGUGCAAAGGUAGCAUAAUCAUUAGUCCUUUAAUUGGGGUCUGGGAUGAAGGGUCGGACGAGGGAGGAGCUGUCUAUUAGUAGUUUUAUUUUGAAUUUUACUUUUUAGUGAAAAGGCUGGAAUGUUCUUGGGGGACGAUAAGACCCUAUAGAUCUUUACACUGGUAGAGGUAGUAAAUGAGAGUUUCUGUGUGUGUUUUGUUGGGGUGACAGGGAGGCAUGACUAACCCUCUUGUAGGCAAGAUUGUUUUAUGGGCAUGUUGUUGAUCCUUUUAUUAAGAUUAAUAGAUUAAGUUACCUUAGGGAUAACAGCGUAAUCCUUUUUGAGAGUUCUUAUUGACAAGAGGGUUUGCGACCUCGAUGUUGGAUUAAGAGAUUUCUGUGGUGCAGAAGCUACGGGAAAGGGUCUGAUCGACCUUUAAUUUCUUACA